rnacentral:rRNA from 1 species
GAUGAACGCUAGCGGCAGGCCUAACACAUGCAAGUCGAGGGGUAGAGUUCUUCGGGACUUGAGACCGGCGCACGGGUGCGUAACGCGUAUGCAAUCUACCUUAUACAGGGGAAUAGCCCCAGAGAAAAUUUGGAUUAAUGCCCCAUAGUGUUAUCGAAUCGCAUGGUUUGAUAACUAAAGUUCCAACGGUAUAAGAUGAGCAUGCGUCCCAUUAGCUAGAUGGUAAGGUAACGGCUUACCAUGGCAAUGAUGGUAGGGGUCCUGAGAGGGAGAUCCCCCACACUGGUACUGAGACACGGACCAGACUCCUACGGGAGGCAGCAGUGAGGAAUAUUGGACAAUGGGCGCAAGCCUGAUCCAGCCAUGCCGCGUCGCAGGAAUAAGGUCCU